AGAGUUUGAUCCUGGCUCAGGAUGAACUUUGGCGGCGUGCCUAACACAUGCAAGUCGAACGAAGCAUAAGGGAAGGAAGAUUCGUCUGACGGAACUUAUGACUGAGUGGCGGACGGGUGAGUAACGCGUGGGUAACCUGCCCCAUACCGGGGGAUAACAUUCAGAAAUGAGUGCUAAUACCGCAUAAGACCACAGUGCCGCAUGGCACAGGGGUCAAAACUCCGGUGGUAUGGGAUGGACCCGCGUCUGAUUAGGUAGUUGGCGGGGUAACGGCCCACCAAGCCGACGAUCAGUAGCCGACCUGAGAGGGUGACCGGCCACACUGGGACUGAGACACGGCCCAGACUCCUACGGGAGGCAGCAGUGGGGAAUAUUGCACAAUGGGGGAAACCCUGAUGCAGCGACGCCGCGUGAGUGAGGAAGUAUUUCGGUAUGUAAAGCUCUAUCAGCAGGGAAGAAAAUGACGGUACCUGACCAAGAAGCCCCGGCUAACUACGUGCCAGCAGCCGCGGUAAUACGUAGGGGGCAAGCGUUAUCCGGAUUUACUGGGUGUAAAGGGAGCGUAGGCGGCUGUGUAAGCCAGAAGUGAAAGCCCGAGGCUCAACCACGGGACUGCUUUUGGAACUACAUGGCUUGAUUGCAGGAGAGGCAAGUGGAAUUCCUAGUGUAGCGGUGAAAUGCGUAGAUAUUAGGAGGAACACCAGUGGCGAAGGCGGCUUGCUGGACUGUAAAUGACGCUGAGGCUCGAAAGCGUGGGGAGCCAACAGAAUUAGAUACCCUGGUAGUCCACGCCGUAAACGAUGAA
rnacentral:rRNA from 1 species